rnacentral:rRNA from 1 species
GAACGCUGGCGGCAGCCUAACAAUGCAAGUCGAACGGUAACAUUUCUAGCUUGCUAGAAGAUGACGAGUGGCGGACGGGUGAGUAAUGCUUGGGAACUUGCCUUUGCGAGGGGGAUAACAGUUGGAAACGACUGCUAAUACCGCAUAAUGUCUUCGGACCAAACGGGGCUUCGGCUCCGGCGCAAAGAGAGGCCCAAGUGAGAUUAGCUAGUUGGUAAGGUAACGGCUUACCAAGGCGACGAUCUCUAGCUGUUCUGAGAGGAAGAUCAGCCACACUGGGACUGAGACACGGCCCAGACUCCUACGGGAGGCAGCAGUGGGGAAUAUUGCACAAUGGGGGGAACCCUGAUGCAGCCAUGCCGCGUGUGUGAAGAAGGCCUUCGGGUUGUAAAGCACUUUCAGUUGUGAGGAAAAGUUAGUAGUUAAUACCUGCUAGCCGUGACGUUAACAACAGAAGAAGCACCGGCUAACUCCGUGCCAGCAGCCGCGGUAAUACGGAGGGUGCGAGCGUUAAUCGGAAUUACUGGGCGUAAAGCGCACGCAGGCGGUUUGUUAAGCUAGAUGUGAAAGCCCCGGGCUCAACCUGGGAUGGUCAUUUAGAACUGGCAGACUAGAGUCUUGGAGAGGGGAGUGGAAUUCCAGGU